rnacentral:pre_miRNA from 1 species
CAAUAAUGCAUGAUUGAGUGCAGCGUUGAUAAACAACGGUAACCGGUCCAUGGCAUGAUCAGGCAGGCACAUUUGGCCGGUGAUUUGAUGAUCGAUUGAUCAUCUGCGCUUCACUCAAUCAUGCGUUUG